GACGGACGGACGGAGAAGCCGCGAACUGGCCCCUCGCCUCGUUUUUCCCCCCGGGCCGCCGCUCUGCCUCGCCAACCAACCGCAGCUGUGAGAAACCUCUACGCACAAUGAUUGAAAGAUACACUAAUUGCCACAAUAGAAGAAUAGAUGGUAAAGGCGGUAAGAGUUGGCAAGAUGGCAAAAUUGACUGCUUUAAUUAAAAAGAAGAACUUAUCUUGUUUUGUUUUUGCUUGGAAACUUCUUCUGGACUUUGAGCAGAAAACUGAAAAAUAUGAAACUUUGAUUUUUGGUUUUGAUGACUAGAUUGACUUUGUCGCUAUACAAAUGGUUUGAAUUGAUAAGAAAUGCAAAGCAAAAGAUUGAGGCUGUAGCUUUUUUUUUUCCUACUCACCUGGGGGAAAAAACCUGGAAGUCACUACUUUUUUUCCCCCUUGUUUGCACCUCUCUUGUCUUUUCUGUGUUUUGUUUCUAUUUCUAUUUCUAUUUCAUCUCACAACAUACAUCAAUAAAAAUUUGAAACACAA